rnacentral:rRNA from 1 species
GAUGAACGCUGGCGGCGUGCCUAAUACAUGCAAGUCGAGCGAACAGACGAGGAGCUUGCUCCUCUGACGUUAGCGGCGGACGGGUGAGUAACACGUGGAUAACCUACCUAUAAGACUGGGAUAACUUCGGGAAACCGGAGCUAAUACCGGAUAAUAUAUUGAACCGCAUGGUUCAAUAGUGAAAGACGGUUUUGCUGUCACUUAUAGAUGGAUCCGCGCCGCAUUAGCUAGUUGGUAAGGUAACGGCUUACCAAGGCAACGAUGCGUAGCCGACCUGAGAGGGUGAUCGGCCACACUGGAACUGACACGGUCCAGACUCCUACGGGAGGCAGCAGUAGGGAAUCUUCCGCAAUGGGCGAAAGCUUGACGGAGCAACGCCGCGUGAGUGAUGAAGGUCUUCGGAUCGUAAAACUCUGUUAUUAGGGAAGAACAAAUGUGUAAGUAACUAUGCACGUCUUGACGGUACCUAAUCAGAAAGCCACGGCUAACUACGUG